rnacentral:rRNA from 1 species
UUAAUUGAAGAGUUUGAUCAUGGCUCAGAUUGAACGCUGGCGGCAGGCCUAACACAUGCAAGUCGAGCGGCAGCACAGAGGAACUUGUUCCUUGGGUGGCGAGCGGCGGACGGGUGAGUAAUGCCUGGGAAAUUGCCCGGUAGAGGGGGAUAACCAUUGGAAACGAUGGCUAAUA